GCCUGGAUAGCUCAGUUGGUUAGAGUGUGGUGCCGAUAACGCCAAGGUUGUGGGUUUGAUCCCCAUAUGGUCAAGGUU
rnacentral:tRNA from 1 species